rnacentral:rRNA from 1 species
AGAAUCAACGCUGGCGGCGUGCCUAACACAUGCAAGUCGAACGAGAAAGUGGAGCAAUCCAUGAGUAAAGUGGCGCACGGGUGAGUAACACGUGACUAACCUACCCUUGAGUGGGGAAUAACUGAGGGAAACCUUCGCUAAUACCGCAUAACACCUACGGGUCAAAGGAGCAAUUCGCUUAAGGAGGGGGUCGCGGCAGAUUAGCUAGUUGGCGGGGUAAUGGCCCACAAGGCAGUGAUCUGUA